rnacentral:rRNA from 1 species
GAUGAACGCUGGCGGCGUGCCUAAUACAUGCAAGUCGAGCGAACGGACGAGAAGCUUGCUUCUCUGAUGUUAGCGGCGGACGGGUGAGUAACACGUGGAUAACCUACCUAUAAGACUGGGAUAACUUCGGGAAACCGGAGCUAAUACCGGAUAAUAUUUUGAACCGCAUGGUUCAAAAGUGAAAGACGGUCUUGCUGUCACUUAUAGAUGGAUCCGCGCUGCAUUAGCUAGUUGGUAAGGUAACGGCUUACCAAGGCAACGAUGCAUAGCCGACCUGAGAGGGUGAUCGGCCACACUGGAACUGAGACACGGUCCAGACUCCUACGGGAGGCAGCAGUAGGGAAUCUUCCGCAAUGGGCGAAAGCCUGACGGAGCAACGCCGCGUGAGUGAUGAAGGUCUUCGGAUCGUAAAACUCUGUUAUUANGGAAGAACAUAUGUGUAAGUAACUGUGCACAUCUUGACGGUACCUAAUCAGAAAGCCACGGCUAACUACGUGCCAGCAGCCGCGGUAAUACGUAGGUGGCAAGCGUUAUCCGGAAUUAUUGGGCGUAAAGCGCGCGUAGGCGGUUUUUUAAGUCUGAUGUGAAAGCCCACGGCUCAACCGUGGAGGGUCAUUGGAAACUGGAAAACUUGAGUGCAGAAGAGGAAAGUGGAAUUCCAUGUGUAGCGGUGAAAUGCGCAGAGAUAUGGAGGAACACCAGUGGCGAAGGCGACUUUCUGGUCUGUAACUGACGCUGAUGUGCGAAAGCGUGGGGAUCAAACAGGAUUAGAUACCCUGGUAGUCCACGCCGUAAACGAUGAGUGCUAAGUGUUAGGGGGUUUCCGCCCCUUAGUGCUGCAGCUAACGCAUUAAGCACUCCGCCUGGGGAGUACGACCGCAAGGUUGAAACUCAAAGGAAUUGACGGGGACCCGCACAAGCGGUGGAGCAUGUGGUUUAAUUCGAAGCAACGCGAAGAACCUUACCAAAUCUUGACAUCCUUUGACAACUCUAGAGAUAGAGCCUUCCCCUUCGGGGGACAAAGUGACAGGUGGUGCAUGGUUGUCGUCAGCUCGUGUCGUGAGAUGUUGGGUUAAGUCCCGCAACGAGCGCAACCCUUAAGCUUAGUUGCCAUCAUUAAGUUGGGCACUCUAAGUUGACUGCCGGUGACAAACCGGAGGAAGGUGGGGAUGACGUCAAAUCAUCAUGCCCCUUAUGAUUUGGGCUACACACGUGCUACAAUGGACAAUACAAAGGGCAGCGAAACCGCGAGGUCAAGCAAAUCCCAUAAAGUUGUUCUCAGUUCGGAUUGUAGUCUGCAACUCGACUACAUGAAGCUGGAAUCGCUAGUAAUCGUAGAUCAGCAUGCUACGGUGAAUACGUUCCCGGGUCU